ensembl:lncRNA
CGACACGCGGGAGUUUUGGCCCGUGGCUUACGGCGUUAGGCAGACUGGCAGGCCCUGCCCGGGUCUUGAGUUACCUGAAGGCCGAGCUGGCCGACACCAGCUGACGCUCUCCGCGGAAAUGAGGAAACCGAUGACUGCUGGCGUUAUCGCUUGAGUUAGUAGCGAGGCAAACGUCUACGUUACUCAGCGCAGAGAUACCCAGAGUAUCGUAAAAGUGGUUUAUAGCACAUCGCGUCUGCUGGUCUCCCUGAAGGGAGACGCAAAGGUCUGACGACUGACAGGGUCACAGGGGGCCGAGGUGCCCAGAAGAAACUGGGAGGUGUGCUGUUUCUCCUGCGUUUCUAUCACUUGCCUGUUUUUUCCUGCAGCACAGUGAGGAGAUACUAGCUCAGGUCUUGCAAGCGGUAUAACUCUGUCAGAGUCACUCUACACCCGUGCUAAUUAACUGAGCCUUUCAGCAGAGCUAAUUAACUGAAGCAGAAUACUUCAAUGGCCCAGCAAUCCUAUGCAUCAAGUUUUGGACAACCAAGAGGACACCGAUGAGAAUAAGAGAUUUAGAAAGCAUGCUAAUGAGGAGAAUUUAAAGAUCUGGACAGACACAAGAUAACUGGGCACAAGAUAACUGUCUUCAGUUCUAUGCAAGGCAUGCAUCGAGGAAGUCAUAUUAUGCACUGAUUCAUGAAAUAUGCAUCAAGUAUUGGUUAAACAGAAUGGAAGAGAACAUGAAAAAACUACAUGGAGGUCCUUUGCCGCCCUCUGCUGCCUAAGCAGCCCGUGUGCUGCUGUUUAGUUAAGGCCCCCCCAGCAGAGGAGCGUGCAAGAGGGAAAGGAAGACAAGAAAGGGAGACCGCUGCUACAGAAAAUGCCAAUACUGACCUCCUUCCUCUGUUCGUACUGGCUGGUAUUUACGAAAACUUGCACCCUCUGAGAAAUGCAGCGCUUCGUUCCCUUUAGCUCCGCUUACGCCCUUUAAAUGGAAACAGAAGCGGGCGCCCAUGUAGUCUUUCAGAUCCCUCUUUUCUGAAGAAAAUAGAUUCCGUAAAGGUCAAAAUUUAUAGCCCUUAAGCUUUCCAUUUCCUGCAGAAAUGCCCCAGCCUUGAAGGGCCUAAUCACACCAGAAGCUCGAAACGGGAUGUGCGGGACUCGGAGCCUAGUCGCAUUCCUUCCACGGCUAAUGCUUUUGGAGCAUAUCCACGCUGCUGCCUGCGAGCCUUGGGCAUGGGCCAGGAACCCGCUCACAUCCGGCUACAGCAUGGUAGCAGUCGUUUACAACUUCUGGAAACAAAUAUUUUUUGAUUUGAGGUCUUUUUGUUUUGAGGUUGGGGUAUUUUGUUUUUUUUUUUUUUAGUUUUAUGUCAUGUAACAUGAGCUGUAAAGAAAAUAAUGAAACUCCCAGCUGUAUUAACCGUGUUUGCUGUUGCUUGUGCCCAUGUGGUUGAUGGAAAGGUCACACCGAAACCGAGUGCGCUAAGAGCUGCAACAGUUAAAAAUGAAAUACAAAUCCCAUAUCUCAGGAUCUCAUUCUACAGCUUGGGUUUUCCUCUUCCAAAAUUCCCCUUCAAAAGCAUAUUGCAACGGUUCUCCUGAACAGUUCCUUCUUUAGUGGUUAUCUUCAAGAGCUUUUGUCUUUUUGCAUGGAAAUUAGCUUACCAUUUCCCAAGGAUACUCCCAAACACUCCAGCUUUUUGUUACUUAUCUUUAUUAUCCUGAUGCACUUUUACAAGUGUGCUUGAGCUUUGAGAUGUAAAUCAAAUUAGAUUCCCUGCGCAGAAAAAACUAAUCUAAAUUAAGAGGAGGACAGAGAGGGAGAACAAGCUUGUAUCGUGCACUAGUAUGUAUCGCGUACUAAGCCGCUGAAGGCAGCCAGCUGCUCAGCAUCAAGCAGAGCUCAACAGCUACUACUGAAGAGGGAAGAGGGGUUAAGAGCAGGGAGAGGAAUUAAUAGCACAGAGAG